rnacentral:rRNA from 1 species
GACGAACGCUGGCGGCGUGCUUAACACAUGCAAGUCGAACGGUGAAGGGACUGGUUUUGCUGGUCCUGGAUGAGUGGCGAACGGGUGAGUAACACGUGAGUAACCUGCCCCCUUCUUCUGGAUAACCGCAUGAAAGUGUGGCUAAUACGGGAUAUUCUGGGUCUGUCGCAUGGUGGGCCUGGGAAAGAUUGCGCCUUUUUUGGUGUUUUUGGUGGGGGAUGGGCUCGCGGCCUAUCAGCUUGUUGGUGGGGUGAUGGCCUACCAAGGCGGUGACGGGUAGCCGGCCUGAGAGGGUGGACGGUCACACUGGGACUGAGACACGGCCCAGACUCCUACGGGAGGCAGCAGUGGGGAAUAUUGCACAAUGGGUGGAAGCCUGAUGCAGCGACGCCGCGUGAGGGAUGGAGGCCUUCGGGUUGUGAACCUCUUUCGCCAGUGAAGCAGGCCUGCCUCUUUUUGUGGGUGGGUUGACGGUAGCUGGAUAAGAAGCGCCGGCUAACUACGUG